ACAACAAGUUUGCCAGAACUUGUUCACCACCUGAAGACACCUGAGAGGCUGUCCCUUAUAAGCUCAUCAAGCAUGCAGACACGUGAUAGGCCGGACAGAUAUCGCCAGAGGAAUGAAAAUAGUUCCAGCGUGGGCCCCUACCACCCCAAGGACGUAUAUCUACACCACAACAACCUGUGGAUUGCAGCCUUGGAGGAUGGAACAAGCACAGUACUCCAAGGCACCAGACAGGUACUCCACGCCACCAUGUAGAGGAUUGCUACAUAGGUAAGUGUGGGUUCAUUCAAUUAACCCAGAUGCUUAACUUGUUAUUAAAGCAUGUUGCUUCCAAUUUCAUUUGUCAAUUUCUAUUUAUUUUAAAGGGCAAGAAGGCAGAGGUAUGGGGAUGUUUUAGCUCUGUACAUGAAGAUAAGAAUGUACAUUUUGGCCUACACUGCGAUUUGAGUUCUGAUUGUAAAAUAACCAGAUAUUUAGAUAUAAUUUCAGAACAUUUGGAGAAGAUCAAGCAGCUGACUGGUUGAGGGCAAAGCUGGCUCUACAAUC
ensembl:lncRNA